ACCCAAAAUCGAUUAGUGUCCUGAAAUUCAUAGUUGAAUUGUUUACCUUCGAAUCAUACUAAUUUUUUGAAGUGUGCUUUCUUUUAAAAAUGAAAAAGAGAAGGCAGAAAUGGUUUUAGAUGUUACACGUGAAUAAAAUUUGUGUUUUAAGUGGAUGAUUUUUUAUUUGUUGCAGGAAAGUUUUUUCUCUAUCUUGUAUUCAUGUUCCUAACGUUCACCUACUUCACCUUUUACGGCAUGAUGGCUGUUGGUCUUACACCUUCCCAACAUUUAGCAGCUGUUAUUUCUUCAGCAUUUUACUCUCUGUGGAAUCUUCUUU
rnacentral:misc_RNA from 1 species